ensembl:lncRNA novel transcript
GUUCGUGUGGCUGUUGGCAGGAGGCCUCAGUUUUUCACCUUCUGGACGCCUGCACAGGGCUGCUUAAGCAGCCUCACAACAUGGCAGCUGACUCUCGCCAUCGUGAGUGAUUCAAGAGAGAGCAAGAUGGAAGCCGCAAUAUCUAUGAUGACCUGGUCACAGUCUGUCAUUUCCACAACUGGUAACACAGGUUGGCCAAGUUCAAGCCCCAGUUCCGGGAUGGAGAGCUCCAUGCCUUGGCCCUGCCAGUGGGACUUCUGCAUGUGCUGGGAGAGAAGAAAGGUUUCCUUUGAGCCCUGCCAGGAUCUUGUUACAGUCUCCACAGAGCAAGACUUCAGGGUCAGGGUGUUGCAUUAUGAAGACAGGAGCCGUGGAGCCUCCAGCAGGAGACAAUGGCUUCCAUUGAGAUAAUAUGACUUAACGAGGCCACAAGUCCACAGCCACCACUCAGGAAACAAUAACCAUUUCAAGAGGGCACAGGAGGUGUUACAGAGAGGCGUGGUGACACACCCCACCCACCGUGGCCUCAGAGAUGGUGCUAAGGGAGAAAGUUUGCUGGGAUUUGUCUGAAAAGGUCAGUUAUUAAAAACAGCUUCUGGCUGGGCGCGCUGGCUCACACCUAUAAUCCUACC